GACUGGGUAGCUCAGUUGGUUAGAGCACUGUCCUGAUAUGCCAACGUUGUGGGUUCAAUUCCCAGUCAGGGCA
rnacentral:tRNA from 1 species